GUUCGAUCCUGGCUCGUUGAACGCUGGCGGGAUGCUUUACACAUGCAAGUCGAACGGCAUACGGACUUCGGUCUGGUGGCGAGUGGCGAACGGGUGAGUAAUGUAUCGGAACGUGCCUAGUAGCGGGGGAUAACUACGCGAAAGCGUAGCUAAUACCGCAUACGCCCUUCGGGGAAAGCGGGGGACCUUCGGGCCUCGCACUAUUAGAGCGGCCGAUAUCGGAUUAGCUAGUUGGUGGGGUAACGGCUCACCAAGGCGACCGAUCCGUAGCUGGUUUGAGAGGACAGCAGCCACGCAGGACUGAGACACGGCCCAGACUCCUACGGGAGGCAGCAGUGGGGAAUUUUGGACAAUGGGAAACCUGAUCCAGCCAUCCCGCGUGUGCGAUGAAGGCCUUCGGGUUGUAAAGCACUUUGGCAGGAAAGAAACGGCACGGGAUAAUACCCCGUGCAGCUGACGGUACGCACCCAGAAUAAGCACCGGCUAACUACGUGCAGCAGCCGCGGUAAUACGUAGGGUGCAAGCGUUAAUCGGAAUUACUGGGCGUAAAGCGUGCGCAGGCGGUUCCGGAAGAAAGAUGUGAAAUCCCAGAGCUUAACUUUGAACUGCAUUUUUAACUACCGAGCUAGAGUGUGUCAGGGAGGUGGAAUUCCGCGUGUAGCAGUGAAAUGCGUAGAUAUGCGGAGGAACACCGAUAGCGAAGGCAGCCUCCUGGGAUAACACUGACGCUCAUGCACGAAAGCGUGGGGAGCAAACAGGAUUAGAUACCCUGGUAGUCCACGCCCUAAACGAUGUCAACUAGCUGUUGGGGCCUUCCGGGCCUUGGUAGCGCAGCUAACGCGUGAAGUUGACCGCCUGGGAGGUACGGUCGCAAGAUUAAAACUCAAAGGUGGCAGGGACCCGCACAAGCGGUGGAUGAUGUGGAUUAAUUCGAUGCAACACGAAAAACCUUACCUACCCUUGACAUGUCUGGAAUCCCGAAAGAGAUUUGGGAGUGCUCGCAAGAGAACCGGAACACAGGUGCUGCAUGGCUGUCGUCAGCUCGUGUCGUGAGAUGUUGGGUUAAGUCCCGUAACGAGCGCAACCCUUGUCAUUAGUUGCUACGAAAGGGCACUCUAAUGAGACUGCCGGUGACAAACCGGAGGAAGGCGGGGAUGACGUCAAGUCCUCAUGGCCCUUAUGGUGGGGCUUCACACGUCAUACAAUGGUCGGGACAGAGGGUCGCCAACCCGAGAGGCCAAUCCCAGAAACCCGAUCGUAGUCCGGAUCGCAGUCCUGCAACUCGACUGCGUGAAGUCGGAAUCGCUAGUAAUCGCGGAUCAGCAUGUCGCGGUGAAUACGUUCCCGGGUCUUGUACACACACCGCCCGUCACACCAUGGGAGUGGGUUUUGCCAGAAGUAGUUAGCCUAACCGUAAGGAGGGCGAAUUACCACGGUAGGAUUCUUGACUGGGGUGAAGUCGUAACAAGGUAG
rnacentral:rRNA from 1 species